UACGUAGGGGGCAAGCGUUGUCCGGAUUUAUUGGGCGUAAAGAGCGUGUAGGCGGUCAGGUAGGUCCGUUGUGAAAACUCGAGGCUCAACCUCGAGACGCCGAUGGAAACCAUCUGACUAGAGUACGGAAGAGGCGAGUGGAAUUCCUGGUGUAGCGGUGAAAUGUGCAGAUAUCAGGAGGAACACCAAUUGCGAAGGCAGCUCGCUGGGACGUUAACUGACGCUGAGACGCGAAAGCGUGGGGAGCAAACAGG
rnacentral:rRNA from 1 species